AUUGAACGCUGGCGGCAGGCUUAACACAUGCAAGUCAAGCGGAGAUGAGGUGCUUGCACCUUAUCUUAGCGGCGGACGGGUGAGUAAUGCUUAGGAAUCUGCCUAUUAGUGGGGGACAACAUUCCGAAAGGAAUGCUAAUACCGCAUACGUCCUACGGGAGAAAGCAGGGGAUCUUCGGACCUUGCGCUAAUAGAUGAGCCUAAGUCGGAUUAGCUAGUUGGUGGGGUAAAGGCCUACCAAGGCGACGAUCUGUAGCGGGUCUGAGAGGAUGAUCCGCCACACUGGGACUGAGACACGGCCCAGACUCCUACGGGAGGCAGCAGUGGGGAAUAUUGGACAUUGGGGGGAACCCUGAUCCAGCCAUGCCGCGUGUGUGAAGAAGGCCUUAUGGUUGUAAAGCACUUUAAGCGAGGAGGAGGCUACUGAGACUAAUACUCUUGGAUAGUGGACGUUACUCGCAGAAUAAGCACCGGCUAACUCUGUGCCAGCCGCCGCCGUAAAAC
rnacentral:rRNA from 1 species